rnacentral:rRNA from 1 species
AUACGGAGGGUGCAAGCGUUACUAGGAAUCACUGGGCGUAAAGCGCGCGUAGGCGGUCUGUUAUGUCAGAUGAGGAAGUCCUUGGCUCAACCGGGGAAGUGCAUUUGAAACUGGCAGACUUGAGUACUGGAGGGGGUGGUGGAAUUCCCGGUGUAGAGGUGAAAUUCGUAGAUAUCGGGAGGAAUACCGGUGGCGAAGGCGACCACCUGGCCAGAUACUGACGCUGAGGUGCGAAAGCGUGGGGAGCAAACAGGAUUAGAAACCCCAGUAGUCC